rnacentral:lncRNA from 1 species
GAUUCUCUUAUUGAUUCCUGUGAGAAAACAUGUCUCUUCAUUCACAGAGGGGUCAGAGGUCAGCGGCAGCUACAGAGCCUCCUUGAAGCACCAGGACUUCCUCAGGAGCUCGUCAGCAGGCCAGACAUUAGCUUGACCCCAGGACAGACACCCACUGGUUCAACCAUCUUUUACUGGUGGUAACCUGAGCAGUUCAGAACAAGGACGUGCCUGCACGACGGAGAGAACAAUGGCAACAAAAACAAGAGCAAAGAUGGUGGUGAGGUGCCCGGGUGGACCCUGCCUCUGCUGUGGGAGCCUCCAGCUGUGCUCCGGGGAAAAAAGGGGGACACGCGUAUUGGAGGCUUUUCACCAAGGAGCACAGAGAGAAAGGGAGGGAGAGAGAGAGAGACCCACCUUCCUCCUCCUCCUGCUGCUUGUCGUCCCCUCUUCCUCACCCCGAGAAAGGGGCCCGAGGUGA